ensembl:misc_RNA Metazoa_SRP Metazoan signal recognition particle RNA
GCUGGGUGUGGUGGCGUGCGCCUGUAAUCCCAGCUAUUCCGGAGGCUGAGACAGGAGAAUUGCUUGAACCCAGGAGGUGGUGGUUGCAGUGAGCCAAGAUCACGCCACUGUGCUUCCAGCCUGGGACACAGAGUGAGACUCCAUCUCAAAAAAAUAAAAAAAGUUUCGUGCUGAUCAGUAGUGAAAUCAGCUUGUGAAUAACCACUGCCCUCCAGCCUGAGCAACACAGGAAGAUCCUGUCUCU